UACGUAGGGGGCGAGCGUUGAUCCGGAUUUAUUGGGCGUAAAGAGCGUGUAGGCGGUUCGGUAAGUCUGUCGUGAAAUCCUGAGGCUCAACCUUGGACGUGCGAUGGAUACUGCCGGGCUAGAGGAUGGUAGAGGCGAGUGGAAUUCCCGGUGUAGCGGCGAAAUGCGCAGAUAUCGGGAGGAACACCAGUAGCGAAGGCGGCUCGCUGGGCCAUUCCUGACGCUGAGACGCGAAAGCUAGGGGAGCGAACAGG
rnacentral:rRNA from 1 species